CGGGCGUGGAGGGGGACGCGCUUUGUGUCUGGCCAAGGAAGGGAAGCGAGCCGAGACCUGCUUGUUCUCCGUGUCAAUCGUCCGGUGGGGUUCCCCGUAGGAACGAACCCCGAGUAGUGUCCUGGAGAGGGGCUCCCAAGGUGCCCGGAACCUUUGCAGGGACUGCGGAAGCUUCGCGGUUAGCUCUGCCAGGGCAGGCUAGAAAGGUUUGCAUUUACAUAUCUGCCCCAUCUGUGCCUGGUGUCCUUAGAGGACAGAAGAGGACAUCACAUCCCCUGAAACUGGAGAGGUACUGAUGAGGAAAGGCCACCAGCAGGUCUCAACCCACAAGUUGAGAGGAGGUCCAACACUCCUCUCACAGAGGUCACAGUAUCACACUAACGAUUCAUAACGGUGACAAGAAUACAGUCAUGAUGUAGCAAUGAGAACAAUUCUAUGGUUGGGGGCGCAGCAUUAGAAAGUUUACGAAGCACUGCUUUAACUCGCCUACUCUGGAGGACUAGGCAGGAGGAGCAGAAAUUCAAGGCUCCCUGGAAACACACAGCAAGUUCAAGACCAACCUAAGCAACUUAGGAAGACCUUGUCCCCCAAAAGAAAAGAAAGAUGAGGAGAUGGUCUGGACAUACACUUCUGUGGUCGAGCGUGUUUUUAGUUUAUAUUUAAAGCCUCAGAUUCAGCCCUCAGCACUGCAAACCAUAAACUAUAACAGAGACACACGUGAGAAACGCUUAAAAUGAAGAUGAAAGUCUUGAAAAUGCCUACAUAUCGAUCCAAAUGUCAUUAAAACUUCCAAUACAGACUUUUUUCUUAGCUUUUUCUUUCUUAGCUUCCUGUUUGUAAACUCCUCGCUUAUGAGAAUAAUCCCGGACUUUCGCAUCUGCAGCUGAAUUCCUAUUUCCUCCGUUCCUGUUCUUCAUCAGGCGUUUGUUUGGAAAGCCGAGUGAUCCUAGCUGUCCUCUAGCUGGUGAAAAGGUUUACUGGGAAGUGCGAUUCUCCGGUCCGUAUCAGUCAAGAAAAGGCGCUCGCCAGAGUAGUUAUCUCCUUGCAAAGACAUGACUUGCAGAUCUCAGAGACUUCAGGGCAG